GCAGCAGUGGGGAAUAUUGGACAAUGGGGGGAACCCUGAUCCAGCCAUGCCGCGUGUGUGAAGAAGGCCUUAUGGUUGUAAAGCACUUUAAGCGAGGAGGAGGCUUACCUAGUUAAUACCUAGGAUAAGUGGACGUUACUCGCAGAAUAAGCACCGGCUAACUCUGUGCCAGCAGCCGCGGUAAUACAGAGGGUGCAAGCGUUAAUCGGAUUUACUGGGCGUAAAGCGCGCGUAGGCGGCCAAUUAAGUCAAAUGUGAAAUCCCCGAGCUUAACUUGGGAAUUGCAUUCGAUACUGGUUGGCUAGAGUGUGGGAGAGGAUGGUAGAAUUCCAGGUGUAGCGGUGAAAUGCGUAGAGAUCUGGAGGAAUACCGAUGGCGAAGGCAGCCAUCUGGCCUAACACUGACGCUGAGGUGCGAAAGCAUGGGGAGCAAACAGGAUUAGAUACCCUGGUAGUCCAUGCCGUAAACGAUGUCUACUAGCCGUUGGGGCCUUUGAGGCUUUAGUGGCGCAGCUAACGCGAUAAGUAGACCGCCUGGGGAGUACGGUCGCAAGACUAAAACUCAAAG
rnacentral:rRNA from 1 species